rnacentral:rRNA from 1 species
ACGGGAGGCAGCAGUGGGGAAUAUUGCACAAUGGGGGAAACCCUGAUGCAGCAACGCCGCGUGAAGGAUGAAGGCCCUUGGGUCGUAAACUUCUGUUCUAAGGGAAGAUAAUGACGGUACCUUAGGAGCAAGUCCCGGCUAACUACGUGCCAGCAGCCGCGGUAAUACGUAGGGGGCAAGCGUUAUCCGGAAUUAUUGGGCGUAAAGAGUGCGUAGGUGGUUUCCUAAGCAUGGGGUUUAAGGCAAUGGCUUAACCAUUGUUCGCCCCAUGAACUGGGUUACUUGAGUGCUGGAGGGGAAAGCGGAAUUCCUAGUGUAGCGGUGAAAUGCGUAGAUAUCAGGAGGAACACCGGUGGCGAAGGCGGAUUGCUGGACAGUAACUGACGUUGAGGCACGAAAGCGUGGGGAGCAAACAGGAUUAGAUCCCCUGGUA